rnacentral:rRNA from 1 species
GGUUCAUUCAAAUUUCUGCCCUAUCAACUUUCGACGGCUGGGUCUUGGCCAGCCAUGGUGACGACGGGUAACGGAGGGUAGGGCUCGACCCCGGAGAAGGAGCCUGAGAAACGGCUACUACAUCCAAGGAAGGCAGCAGGCGCGCAAAUUACCCAAUCCCGACCGGGGAGGUAGUGACAAUAAAUACUGAUACAGGGCUCUUUUGGGUCAUGUAAUUGGAAUGAGUACAAUUUAAAUCCCUUAACGAGGAACAAUUGGAGGGCAAGUCUGGUGCCAGCAGCCGCGGUAAUUCCAGCUCCAAUAGCGUAUAUUAAAGUUGUUGCAGUUAAAAAGCUCGUAGUUG